rnacentral:rRNA from 1 species
UACAGAGGUCUCGAGCGUUAGGCGGAAUCACUGGGCUUAAAGCGUGUGUAGGCGGAUCGUUAAGUACCUUGUGAAAUCCCACGGCUUAACCGUGGAACUGCUUGGUAUACUGGCGGUCUUGAGCCAGCUAGGGGCGACCGGAACAAAUGGUGGAGCGGUGAGAUGCGUAGAUAUCAUUUGGAACGCCAAUGGUGAAAACAGGUCGCUGGGGCUGUGCUGACGCUGAGACACGAAAGCCAGGGGAGCAAACGGG